CAUGCAAGUCGAGGGGUAACAGGAGAUAGUUUACUAUUUUGCUGACGACCGGCGAACGGGUGAGUAACGCGUAGGAAUCUGCCUCAAAGCGGGGGAUAGCCCGGGGAAACUCGGAUUAAUACCGCAUAUAUUCUAAGGAAUAAAGAUGCCUUUUGGUGUCGCUUUGAGAUGAGCCUGCGUCCGAUUAGCUUGUUGGUAAGGUAAAAGCUUACCAAGGCGACGAUCGGUAGCUGGUCUGAGAGGACGUACAGCCACACUGGGACUGAGACACGGCCCAGACUCCUACGGGAGGCAGCAGUGGGGAAUAUUGCGCAAUGGGGGCAACCCUGACGCAGCCAUACCGCGUGGAUGGAGAAGGCCUUAGGGUCGUAAAGUCCUUUCAGCAAGAAAAAAACCUUGGCAUUAAUAGUGUCGGGGCUUGAUGUUACUUGCAGAAGAAGCACCGGCUAACUCCGUGCCAGCAGCCGCGGUAAUACGGAGGGUGCAAGCGUUAAUCGGAAUCACUGGGCGUAAAGAGUAUGUAGGUGGUAGUGAAAGUUGGAUGUGAAAGCCCUGGGCUUAACCGAGGAAUUGCAUCCAAAACUUCACAACUAGAGUAUG
rnacentral:rRNA from 1 species